rnacentral:rRNA from 1 species
UACGUAGGGUGCGAGCGUUAAUCGGAAUUACUGGGCGUAAAGCGUGCGCAGGCGGUUCGUUGUGUCCGUCGUGAAAGCCCCGGGCUUAACCUGGGAACUGCGAUGGAAACUAGCGAGCUGGAGUGUGGCAGGAGGGGGGUGGAAUUCCGCGUGUAGUGGUGAAAUGCGUAGAGAUCCGGAGGAACCCCAGAGGCGAAGGCGGCCCCCUGGCUCGGUACCUGGACGCUCAGCCACGAAAGGCAUGGGGAGCGAACGGG